rnacentral:rRNA from 1 species
AGUAACGCGUAUCCAACCUUCCCACUUACUGUUGGGAUAACCUGCCGAAAGGCAGACUAAUACCGCAUAGUCUUCGAUGACGGCAUCAGAUUUGAAGUAAAGAUUUAUCGGUAAUGGAUGGGGAUGCGUCUGAUUAGCUUGUUGGCGGGGUAACGGCCCACCAAGGCGACGAUCAGUAGGGGGUUCUGAGAGGAAGGUCCCCCACAUUGGAACUGAGACACGGUCCAAACUCCUACGGGAGGCAGCAGGG